rnacentral:rRNA from 1 species
UACGUAGGGUGCGAGCGUUGUCCGGAAUUACUGGGCGUAAAGAGCUCGUAGGUGGUUUGUCGCGUUGUUCGUGAAAACCGGGGGCUUAACCCUCGGCGUGCGGGCGAUACGGGCAGACUUGAGUACUGCAGGGGAGACUGGAAUUCCUGGUGUAGCGGUGAAAUGCGCAGAUAUCAGGAGGAACACCGAUGGCGAAGGCAGGUCUCUGGGCAUUAACUGACGCUGAGGAGCGAAAGCAUGGGGAGCGAACAGG